AUUGAACGCUGGCGGCAGGCCUAACACAUGCCAGUCGAGCGGAUGAAGGGAGCUUGCUCCUGGAUUCAGCGGCGGACGGGUGAGUAAUGCCUAGGAAUCUGCCUGGUAGUGGGGGAUAACGUCCGGAAACGGGCGCUAAUACCGCAUACGUCCUGAGGGAGAAAGUGGGGGAUCUUCGGACCUCACGCUAUCAGAUGAGCCUAGGUCGGAUUAGCUAGUUGGUGGGGUAAAGGCCUACCAAGGCGACGAUCCGUAACUGGUCUGAGAGGAUGAUCAGUCAAACUGGAACUGAGACACGGUCCAGACUCCUACGGGAGGCAGCAGUGGGGAAUAUUGGACAAUGGGCGAAAGCAUGAUCCAGCAAUGCCGCGUGUGUGAAGAAGGUCUUCGGAUUGUAAAGCACUUUAAGUUGGGAGGAAGGGAAGUAAGUUAAUACCUUGCUGUUUUGACGUUACCAACAGAAUAAGCACCGGCUAACUUCGUG
rnacentral:rRNA from 1 species